AUUGAACGCUGGCGGCAGGCCUAACACAUGCAAGUCGAGCGGAUGAAGGGAGCUUGCUCCUGGAUUCAGCGGCGGACGGGUGAGUAAUGCCUAGGAAUCUGCCUGGUAGUGGGGGAUAACGUCCGGAAACGGGCGCUAAUACCGCAUACGUCCUGAGGGAGAAAGUGGGGGAUCUUCGGACCUCACGCUAUCAGAUGAGCCUAGGUCGGAUUAGCUAGUUGGUGGGGUAAAGGCCUACCAAGGCGACGAUCCGUAACUGGUCUGAGAGGAUGAUCAGUCACACUGGAACUGAGACACCGUCCAGACUCCUACGGGAGGCAGCAGUGGGGAAUAUUGGACAAUGGGCGAAAGCCUGAUCCAGCCAUGCCGCGUGUGUGAAGAAGGUCUUCGGAUUGUAAAGCCCUUUAAGUUGGGAGGAAGGGCAGUAAGUUAAUACCUUGCUGUUUUGACGUUACCAACAGAAUAAGCACCGGCUAACUUCGUG
rnacentral:rRNA from 1 species